GGGAGCUUGCUCCCUGAUAUCAGCGGCGGACGGGUGAGUAACACGUGGGUAACCUGCCUGUAAGACUGGGAUAACUCCGGGAAACCGGGGCUAAUACCGGAUAACUCAUUUCCUCGCAUGAGGAAAUGUUGAAAGAUGGCUUUUUGCUAUCACUUACAGAUGGACCCGCGGCGCAUUAGCUAGUUGGUGAGGUAACGGCUCACCAAGGCAACGAUGCGUAGCCGACCUGAGAGGGUGAUCGGCCACACUGGGACUGAGACACGGCCCAGACUCCUACGGGAGGCAGCAGUAGGGAAUCUUCCGCAAUGGACGAAAGUCUGACGGAGCAACGCCGCGUGAGUGAUGAAGGUUUUCGGAUCGUAAAGCUCUGUUGUUAGGGAAGAACAAGUGCCGUUCGAAUAGGGCGGCACCUUGACGGUACCUAACCAGAAAGCCACGGCUAACUACGUGCCAGCAGCCGCGGUAAUACGUAGGUGGCAAGCGUUGUCCGGAAUUAUUGGGCGUAAAGCGCGCGCAGGUGGUUCCUUAAGUCUGAUGUGAAAGCCCACGGCUCAACCGUGGAGGGUCAUUGGAAACUGGGGGACUUGA
rnacentral:rRNA from 2 species